rnacentral:rRNA from 1 species
CACGUACCGGACAAACGUUAUUCGGAAUCACUGGGCUUAAAGAGUCCGUAGGCGGCUCGGUAGGUGAGGUGUGAAAUCCCACGGCUCAACCGUGGAACUGCGCUUCAAACCACCGAGCUUGAGGGAGAUAGAGGUGAGCGGAACUGAUGGUGGAGCGGUGAAAUGCGUUGAUAUCAUCAGGAACACCGGUGGCGAAAGCG